UUUUGUCUCCAGCAGGCAGUGUGUAGCAAUGGCUUCUAGGUUGAAGAGAUACAACUAAAAAACUGGAUGUGACCCUCUUAAUAGUUGUGCGUCACUUAAUGAUGAGGAUAUGUUCUGAGAAAUGCAUCAUUAGGUGAUUUAAUCGUACUUACACAAACCUAAAUGUAGAGUCCGCUACACACCUAGGCUAUAUAAUACAGCCUACGGUAUCUAAGCUGCAAACCUGUACCGCAGGUGACUGUACUGAAUACUGCAAACAACUGUAACAAAUCAGUAAGGGAGAGCAACACAGAGAGACAGAAAGAGCAAGAAGGCAAAGAGAACACACUGAAGACAAACUUGGCCAUUUAAGUUCCUCCUUAGCCUCAUUUUCUCCAGCUGAAGAUCUUUAGAUUCCAUUAUCAUUUAUGGAAUGCAUUGGGAUGAACACCAAGUGACCAAUGGGAAACUUCUAGGAGGGUAUCUGGACCCCAGAAGAAUCUGUAUCAGGGCCCUUGAGCAGCAGCUAUGGGCCACACUAUGGAGUGUACUUUAAUUUUCAAUAAAUCU